rnacentral:misc_RNA from 1 species
UUAAGCCUCUUUCUUUUUUUUUCUUGGGGUUUCAAUGGAAGAGGAUGAUCAGAAAGAGUUGCAGCUGCUUCCUUCUCAACACUCUCUAGCAGCUUCUUCUUGUUCUUAUUCACACAUGUCGUCUAGGCCUCCGGAAUCUUCUUCGUUGAGGUAUCGAUCAUCAUCGGCGAUGGUGUCAGAUCAUCAUCAUCAAAUUGGAGGGGCGCCAUCGCUAGACUUGAAAUUAUCAAUCAGUCUUAGUCCAAUCCAGGCA